GAGAUAUAUGAUUGAGUGAGGCCGAUGGCCUGGUUGUGAGGAUAUUAUACCAUAGUGCGUGAGUUGUCCGCGUAGCACGUGAGUUGACCGUGCGGGUCCAGGUAUUUAUAUCAUAGCGCGUGAGUUGUUCGCGUAGCAUGUGAGUUGACCGUGUGGAUCCAGGUAUUGAUAUGGUAGCACGUCACUUGUCCGUGCUUAGCAUUUUGGCUAUGGAAGCCCCUACGGAGUCUGUACACACCCCCAUUGAGCGCAGAGUGUCGAGUGUAUUGCGUGUUGAAUGUUG
rnacentral:lncRNA from 1 species